UACGUAGGGGGCAAGCGUUGUCCGGAAUCAUUGGGCGUAAAGAGCGUGUAGGCGGCUUGGUAAGUCCGCUGUGAAAGCCCCGGGCUCAACCUGGGAAUGGCCAUGGAAACUGGCGAACUGGAGUGUGGCAGAGGGGGGUGGAAUUCCGCGUGUAGCAGUGAAAUGCGUAGAGAUGCGGAGGAACACCGAUGGCGAAGGCAGCCCCCUGGGCUAGCACUGACGCUCAGGCACGAAAGCGUGGGGAGCAAACAGG
rnacentral:rRNA from 1 species